GGAGGCUGCUGCUCGCCCGCUCGCCCGCUCGCCCGCCCGCCGCUCCGCGCUUCUCCCUCCGCCUCCCCGGCCCCGCGCACCUACGAGCUCCGGGCCGCGGGCCGAGCUGCCCCGGGCGCUGUCCGGGCCUGCAGAGGGGAUGCCGGCGGGGACCUCGGGCUCGCGCCGGCGUUGCGCAGCAAAGAAAGGCGAGGCGCGGCGUCGGGGCUGCGCGCCCUGGAGCUCCGGGACGCGGCACUUGGGAACCCCCGCGGCGAGCUCCCGCCAUCUCCGCGCGGCCGGAGCGCGCAGCCCGGGGCUGGCCUCGGGUGGAAAGUGCGGGGAAUGGGGCGAGGGGCUCCGGACCCCCCACCGUGGAUUACUUGGUGUGCAUCAGCCGGGCUCAGACGACCCCCACCCCCGCGACCUCGUCUGCGUCCUGGGCUUGCUUCCUUCCACCUGGCAGUCGGGGCGCAUACCUGGCAGGUGA
rnacentral:lncRNA from 1 species